rnacentral:SRP_RNA from 1 species
CCAGCUGUGACGGAAGCUCGGGCAUCAAAGCUGUGAAUACCAACUUCGCUGCGGGUGCCCCAGCAGGAAGAAUGCCAGAUCGUCCUCCGAAGGCCGCAGUCGGUCAGCUCGUUCGGCGGAAGCCAAGCGCGGCUGGCUGGUUAUAAUGUGGGAAACCGGGCCAGAUUGGAAACAGAGUAGCCUAACCCACAGCUGCGAGCUGGUCGGCUGGAUAGCGGUCAG